AAUGUGCGAAGUGCGGGUUAUAAAAGGUGACGUCGCGUGAUGAUUCGAAUAUUAUUAAAAAGAACGGGGCACUAAUUUAAUAAGCGUCUCCCUCUCUUCACGGCUGGCUGUCACAGCGCAGAUGUGGCCGCCGCUCGAUCCGUCGAGGCUUAAUACGACGAGCCCCUAUAUUUCACCUAGCAUUAUCAUCCUUUUUUCCAAGCUCAUUUUACGACCUGUCGACUGAACAUUAAUAACGUCCCGUCCGCCUACAAUAAUAUCGGGCAUUUUUAUUACGGGACACCUCUCUUCGUUCCUUACUUCCUUCCCUUGUUCCUUAUCUCAGUGACAUACUUCGUAUCCUAGAAGAUUAUUCACGUGCGACUAUCCACCUGACAGGCCGUCGUGACUUCUUCGUUUAUCAACGGUCGAUUCUCAGGCAGAGAAGCCAAGGAUAAGAGAAUAGCGGAAUGAAAAAGGAUCCUAUCCAAAGGAGGUCCUUGACCGAUCGGAUAGGGGAAAACAAUUUAAUCGAAGACCCUCAGGAAAAUAUAGAUGGCCUGGCCUGUCCGCAGUGGUCCGAUAAUGUGGCAUCGAAAGAGGCUCCCAACUCGCCACGGCCAGUUUGUCAGAUCCUGAUGUACCUAAGAGGGUCCCUGGCUCCUUUUCAGGACAAUUUGUCUCGCGCACGCACAAUGGACAAAUAUCGGACCAGCAGCCAUUUCCGACCUACCCAACAGUCCAGUAAAGGAGACCGGGCAAACUUUCACUUUACAGGUAGACAGGUAUACAGGAUAUACGGUUGAGACUUGGAUAUAAAGAAAACAUCACCGGCAGAUAAUCGCAGACGUUAUUUCAUCUUGGUCCAUCCGUCAUUCCCACUACGGACUACAAGAUGCAAGAAGAUGGGCGGAUCUUGUUUUUCUACCCUCCUGGACUACAGUUUCCUAAUGUUCAUCCAUCUGUCUGAUCUUAGCGAUAUCGUCUGAUUAGAUUCUCCGCUAUCGAGGACCUGAGCAAAUUUUUUUUUCCAAACUAUUACAUCGCGCAUGCGCAAGAAAAAGAUCAUGAAACUCGUACUACGAUAGAAAUCCUAAUUGACAAGUGAUACGAAACUUUCGUAAUAUUUAUCAUAGAGUCAAGAUAUAGGUGGAGUACAGUAUAAAAAAAAAAUUUCAUAAACUUUCCACGAUACACUGCGCUCCUAUGUGUUUAUUCGAGUGGGACGUAUAUUACCUCAUCAAUAUUUGUACACGGUACUGUACUGCUGCAGUACGUAUAAACGUGCAUCACCAGGUUGUAUCGGCAUGGAGGUUCGUUAAUCGUUGUAAAAGUCGCCGGUUUUAAUCCAGCAAAUGAAAGUACAAAUCACGCAGAGUGGUCGGCAGUGCGCAUGCGCGAUGAAGUACGAAUAAUAACGAGGCGAAUGAGGGAGCCGGGCAUUUAUCUUAAUGGCGUCAUCGUGAUGCGGCGAUUAAAAGGCGCCGUGGCUAUAGAUCAACGCCGGUUAUUUAGCAAAAUGUUAAACAAUUACAUUAAUAAACAGCAGUCGGACGUAGACGAUGCGGAACUGAGAAGUGAGCAUUCAGUUAGUGUUGUUGGUGGGUUAUAUAUGUGGCUGGAUUUACGUAUAUAGUGUGAGGAAUACAGUAGCAACGUGACAACCCCUACAGGAGAGUCACUAUGGGUUCGUGUGAGGGUUGCGCCACGAGGGUGUUGUGAGUUAUGAGUGCUCUGUGAUAUCAAUGCAUCAAUUUGGCUAAACGAAGGAUUAAUUUAAUAACAAGUCAGCAGGGGGAUCGCGAGAUGAUCUAUAGACAAGGGGGAGAAACAUUGUGUAUAUACUGUUCAGGGUGAG